rnacentral:rRNA from 2 species
CCAAUAGCGUAUAUUAAAGUUGCUGCAGUUAAAAAGCUCGUAGUUGAAUUUCGGGACUAAUAUGUUGGUCGUGCCUCGGUACGUACUGAUAUUUUUGGUUUCUCCCUUCUGACGAACCUUGAUGUCAUUAAUUUGGUGUCUUGGGAAAUCAGGACUGUUACUUUGAAAAAAUUAGAGUGUUUAAAGCAGGCUCACGCUUG